rnacentral:lncRNA from 1 species
UUGAUCUUCUGGUGGGCAGCUUGAUGGCUGCUGGAGGGUUGGAGUCAGCCUUACACGCAGCCAUUACUGCAGAGAUCCAGGAUAUUUAAGUGAAAAAAGAAGCACAGAAGGAAAAAGAAAUUGAUGAACAGGAAGCAAAUGCCUCAGCAUUUCACAGAAGCAGGACUCCAUUGGAUAAAGACCUUAUUAAUACGGGGAUCUGUGAGUCUUCUGGCAAACAGUAUUUGCCUCUGGUUCAGCUCAUACAACAGCUUCUUAGAAACAUUGCUUCUCAGACUGUGGCCAGAUUGAAGGAUGU